GAUGAACGCUGGCGGCGUGCCUAAUACAUGCAAGUCGAGCGAACAGACGAGUAGCUUGCUCCUCUGACGUUAGCGGCGGACGGGUGAGUAACACGUGGUUAACCUACCUAUAAGACUGGGAUAACUUCGGUAAAUCGGAGCUAAUACCGGAUAACAUGUUGAACCUCAUGGUUCAACAGUUAAAGACGCUCUUGCUUUUACUUAUAGAUUGAUCCGCGCCGCAUUAGCUAGUUGGUAAGGUAACGGCUUACCAAGGCAACGAUGCGUAGCCGACCUGAGAGGGGGAACAACCAAACUGGAACUGAGGAGAAGUCCAGACUCCCAAGGGGGGCAACAGUAGGGAAUCGUCCGGAAUGGGAGAAAGCCAAAGAGAGAAAGGCCGCGGGAGAUAAGAAGGGCUUCGGGUCGGAAAAAGCUGAUGGUAGGGGAGAACAAAGGAGUAAGUAACAAAGAACGGCUUGACGGUACCGAAACAGAAAGCCACGGCUAACUACGUG
rnacentral:rRNA from 1 species